rnacentral:rRNA from 1 species
AGAGUUUGAUCCUGGCUCAGAACGAACGCUGGCGGCAGGCCUAACACAUGCAAGUCGAGCGCCCGCAAGGGAGCGGCAGACGGGUGAGUAACGCGUGGGAACGUGCCCUUUGGUUCGGAAUAUUCCCGGGAAACUGGGAGCAAAACCGGAUAAGCCCUUCGGGGGAAAGUUUACGCCAAAGGAUCGGCCCGCGUUAGAUUAGGUAGUUGGUGGGGUAACGGCCUACCAAGCCUACGAUCUAUAGCUGAUCUGAGAGGAUGAUCAGCCACACUGGGACUGAGACACGGCCCAGACUCCUACGGGAGGCAGCAGUGGGGAAUCUUGGACAAUGGGCGCAAGCCUGAUCCAGCCAUGCCGCGUGGAUGACUGAAGGCCCUAGGGUUGUAAAGUCCUUUCGACGGGGACGAUAAUGACGGUACCCGUAGAAGAAGCCCCGGCUAACUUCGUGCCAGCAGCCGCGGUAAUACGAAGGGGGCUAGCGUUGUUCGGAUUUACUGGGCGUAAAGGGCGCGUAGGCGGAUUUUUAAGACGGGGGUGAAAUCCCGGAGCUCAACUCCGGAACUGCCUUCGAUACUGAAAGUCUGGAGCACGGUAGAGGUGAGUGGAAUUCCGAGUGUAGCGGUGAAAUGCGUAGA